GGUGAACGCUGGCGGCGUGCCUAAUACAUGCAAGUCGAGCGAACAGACGAGGAGCUUGCUCCUCUGACGUUAGCGGCGGACGGGUGAGUAACACGUGGAUAACCUACCUAUAAGACUGGGAUAACUUCGGGAAACCGGAGCUAAUACCGGAUAAUAUAUUGAACCGCAUGGUUUGAUAGUGAAAGACGGUUUUGCUGUCACUUAUAGAUGGAUCUGCGCCGCAUUAGCUAGUUGGUAAGGUAACGGCUUACCAAGGCAACGAUGCGUAGCCGACCUGAGAGGGUGAUCGGCCACACUGGAACUGAGACACGGUCCAGACUCCUACGGGAGGCAGCAGUAGGGAAUCUUCCGCAAUGGGCGAAAGCCUGACGGAGCAACGCCGCGUGAGUGAUGAAGGUCUUCGGAUCGUAAAACUCUGUUAUUAGGGAAGAACAAAUGUGUAAGUAACUAUGCACGUCUUGACGGUACCUAAUCAGAAAGCCACGGCUAACUACGUGCCAGCCGCCGCCGUAACAC
rnacentral:rRNA from 1 species